rnacentral:lncRNA from 1 species
ACAAUACAAUGUAAAAUAUUUUGCCCCAUAACACCCCUUUAUUUUUUCAUAUAAGACUUAAUAGCUCAUGAAAGGUCAUUUACCAAAAUUUUAGAAGAUUCUUAAUUUUCUUUCGUUUGUUUUGAGACCCAAAUAGUACCAAUGCAUAUAUAAGGUAAAAGUCCGAGUCAGCCUUUUCCCGCCAUAUUUUGAAUCUCAAAUAUGUCGAAGAGGAGGUCCAUGACCUAUCAAUUUUUUAGCUUAUCUUUACCCUUAACAGAUGUUCUACCAGCUUAUAGUUUCAAUUU